rnacentral:rRNA from 1 species
GUGGGGAAUAUUGGACAAUGGGCGAAAGCCUGAUCCAGCCAUGCCGCGUGUGUGAAGAAGGUCUUCGGAUUGUAAAGCACUUUAAGUUGGGAGGAAGGGCAGUAAGUUAAUACCUUGCUGUUUUGACGUUACCGACAGAAUAAGCACCGGCUAACUUCGUGCCAGCAGCCGCGGUAAUACGAAGGGUGCAAGCGUUAAUCGGAAUUACUGGGCGUAAAGCGCGCGUAGGUGGUUUUGUAAGUUGGAGGUGAAAUCCCCGGGCUCAACCUGGGAACUGCAUCCAAAACUGCAUGACUAGAGUACGGUAGAGGGUAGUGGAAUUUCCUGUGUAGCGGUGAAAUGCGUAGAUAUAGGAAGGAACACCAGUGGCGAAGGCGACUACCUGGACUGAUACUGACACUGAGGUGCGAAAGCGUGGGGAGCAAACAGGAUUAGAUACCCGGGUAGUCC